UCUCAAAAGAAAAAAAGUCCCGAGCGAGGGUUAAGUCUCCUGCCCGCGUGCACGCCGCCACCAUGCUUUCGCUCGAAAUCCCUGGUAUUCUCAUGGCUCACCCCUGACCCCGGCUCUGGUUUUCCUCAUACCAGCCGCCGGCGACCGGACUCGCUUCCUUCCUCCGACCUGUGGAUCGGCUCCACCGUCCCCAGAAUCCCCACUCCCUUCGCUGACUCCUGCUCCAACACUGAUACGCUGACGCCGCCGCCUCCUGGUCGGCAUGCACGGCCGCACGCCCAGCAGUUACCGUGGCCGAUGAUGGAACAGCCCCGAGACCCUCCUUGUGUUGCAGUGCUUGGAGAAGAGGCAAGGCGCCCAGGGAGUCCUGAGAAGACGCCCUCGCCGCCGACCUUGAGGUACAGGUCUGUCUCCAUGAGCUCGAGGAAGCCAUGGCCGAUGCAUCCAGCUGCGGAUGCCGCAUCUUUGUGGCCGCCACCCUCCCUCACCGCCCUACACAACCGGCUCCUCGGUCACCUCGUCGCCGCCGGCGGCCUUCAGUUUUGUGAACUCCAUUUGCAGAGGUAGCUUAAGUGCAAUUUCAUUUCAGGGAGAGUUGGCACAUAUUUCUCCUUUUAGGCUGAUACUUCAGACUUCAGUACACAUCAAUAUGUACUGAAGUACAACUUCAGGUUUUAGUUACGGUUUAUGCACAUUGCCAUGUUCUAAACUUGUGAUCCAUGGAGACAUAGCAUGUUUUGUACAAAAAUAAAUCAUCGUAAUCUAAUCUCAUGCAACUUUAUGUACUAUUCUUUGUUGUACUGAGAAGCUGCAAAGCCCAAGCCUCGUGUAAAUAUAGGAGGGCAUCUCAGAAGACAUGGGGUGAAUGAUCUACAUAAUCUUUGGGAUGCAGUAACUCUAAAUCUUACCUCUCCCUUAGCCAUUUGCGAUCUGGCACCCCCCCCCCCCCCCCCCCCCCCCUGCAUAGAUAAGUACAUGGUGUUUACCAUAAUUUACAUUUGUCUUUAUAGUACUCCUCCUAAAUGUUUAUUGUUGAGUGUCUCAUUUCCAGCAUAUUAGUAGAGGAGCAUGCAAGUUUGGAUAGCUAAGUUUGUUGAUGGGAUUCAUUGUGCUGGUUAAAGUCAUAAUAUAUCAGCAGGAGAUGACUUUGUCGUACCUGACGUGCGGAAAUGCGAUGGUGUCUACCUUGAAGCUUGAAGAGUUCAUGAGGAAGUCUUGCUAGCAUCUAGAGUUGGAUGCCCUCAUGAAGACUACUGUCAGUCAAUUUUCAUGACUGUUCACACCGUUGAUGUUGUGAGGACUGGCAGCUCUUCAGUUCACACCGCCAAUGUUGUGAGGAGUGGCAGGACUUCAAUGGGCAUGGAGGCUGCAACCUAGGGCGAGGGCGUGGUGCGUUGAGAUGGCGGAGCUGCGUUGGUGGGAGGCGGCGAUGGCGGCGGCAACGCCAAUGUCCACAGGGAUCUCUUAGCCGCAACAGAUCGAAGAACAACUUGGGGAUGUCGUGCAGCUCCUGCGUGUAGUAGAUAAAUUGCCGCCCAGAUAAAUCACCGGGACACUACCAAGUGUGUCGUUCAUUGGGCCAGGAUAAAAAAUCUUGAGGGUGCCUCAUGUGCGACUCUAGCUAUUGAAAGUCAAAGAACUUGACUACUUCCGGAGUUUGAUAAGGCUUUAUAGUGAGUUCUCAUACUUUUACUGCUGUUGUUAUUAAGCAGAUUUUGUCAAAGCAAUUGCUAUGUGUAUGCCAUUUUCAUGUUCUAUACGUGGCUGUUUUUCCAUGUUCUAGACAUGGAUAUGAUGAUUGGUCGAUGAAGCAAUUGAUUUCUAAUACUAGCAAUUGGGCUUCUGGAUA